rnacentral:rRNA from 1 species
AGUGAACGCUGGCGGUAGGCCUAACACAUGCAAGUCGAACGGCAGCACAGUAAGAGCUUGCUCUUACGGGUGGCGAGUGGCGGACGGGUGAGGAAUACAUCGGAAUCUACUUUUUCGUGGGGGAUAACGUAGGGAAACUUACGCUAAUACCGCAUACGACCUACGGGUGAAAGCAGGGGACCUUCGGACCUUGCGCGAUCGAAUGAGCCGAUGUCGGAUUAGCUAGUUGGCGGGGUAAAGGCCCACCAAGGCGACGAUCCGUAGCUGGUCUGAGAGGAUGAUCAGCCACACUGGAACUGAGACACGGUCCAGACUCCUACGGGAGGCAGCAGUGGGGAAUAUUGGACAAUGGGCGCAAGCCUGAUCCAGCCAUACCGCGUAGGUGAAGAAGGCCUUCGGGUUGUAAAGCCCUUUUGUUGGGAAAGAAAAGCAGCAGGUUAAUACCCCGCUGUUCUGACGGUACCCAAAGAAUAAGCACCGGCUAACUUCGUG